ACUGUCCACUUGACAUCAAAACAGAUCUAUCCUUCAACUAGCUCAAUUAUUUGUAUAAAUAUGUACAUGUUCACAAAGGCUUGUAUAAACAUAACUGAAAAAAAAUGGAGAAGAAAGUGAUGAUAGCUGCUCUAUUUCUUGCCAUGUUUGUGCUCUCCUCCGAUAUAAAGCUGGUGGAGUCUGGCCCUGAAGAUUGCAUUGAUUCUUGUUACACCGGUUGUGUCUUCCCCAACGAUGGCAGAGCUUUGUCACACUGUGAGGCUAAAUGCAGGAUCAGAUGCGGUCCAGGUGCGAAAGCUGAUGAGAAAGAAGGCUGAUAACGUGUGUUUCAGUAAGAAUAAAGGAAUCACCUGAAUGGUCUUGGUGUAGUACUGCUGUUUUUCAUUGCAAACUCUAAACUGUGUUGUAUUUGUAUUGGUAAAGUUUAUACAAUGCUGUCUUGGUGGAGUA